rnacentral:rRNA from 1 species
UAGGGAAUCUUCGGCAAUGGGGGGAACCCUGACCGAGCAACGCCGCGUGAGUGAAGAAGGUUUUCGGAUCGUAAAGCUCUGUUGUUAAGGAAGAACGAGUGUGAGAAUGGAAAGUUCAUACUGUGACGGUACUUAACCAGAAAGGGACGGCUAACUACGUGCCAGCAGCCGCGGUAAUACGUAGGUCCCGAGCGUUGUCCGGAUUUAUUGGGCGUAAAGCGAGCGCAGGCGGUUAGAUAAGUCUGAAGUUAAAGGCAGUGGCUCAACCAUUGUAGGCUUUGGAAACUGUUUAACUUGAGUGCAGAAGGGGAGAGUGGAAUUCCAUGUGUAGCGGUGAAAUGCGUAGAUAUAUGGAGGAACACCGGUGGCGAAAGCGGCUCUCUGGUCUGUAACUGACGCUGAGGCUCGAAAGCGUGGGGAGCGGACAGGAUUAGAUACCCUGGUAGUCCACGCCGUAAACGAUGAGUGCUAGGUGUUAGGUCCUUUCCGGGACUUAGUGCCGCAGCUAACGCAUUAAGCACUCCGCCUGGGGAGUACGACCGCAAGGUUG